rnacentral:rRNA from 1 species
CAGCCGUAAACUAUGCGCGUUAGGUGUAUCGGUGACCACGAGUUACCGAGGUGCCGAAGGGAAACCGUGAAACGUGCCGCCUGGGAAGUACGGUCGCAAGGCUGAAACUUAAAGGAAUUGGCGGGGGAGCACCACAACAGGUGGAGCCUGCGGUUUAAUUGGACUCAACGCCGGGAAGCUCACCGGAUAGGACAGCAGAAUGAUUGCCGGGCUGAAGACCCUGCAUGACUAGUUGAGAGGAGGUGCAUGGCGUAGACGUCU